UUGACCUAAGCUAGUCUUAGUGUGGGGAAGUACAAGGUGUUCUUAUAAGGAGCCAGUAUACGUCCAGCAGGAAAAGCCCGUGUCCCGGGAACAACUCAGCCUCUGUUGAGAAACACUAUCAAGACGGAGGCUGGUGGUGUAGCUCUGGCCUUCUAGGAUUGGCUCUGGGUGUGAUUGAAAGUUAGGUCUCAGCAUGUUGGAGAUUGUCAGGUAAGAGUAGGUGGGAAGGGCCCUUAGAGCACAGCCGAGGCUCUAGAAUGAGAACUGCCAUGAAGGACUGAAGGAGGCACGUGGGUCCUCUGCUCUGCCCUUGAUGCUACUCUGGGACUCACCUCAUUGGCAAGACUGAGCCAGCUGUUUGAGAGUUUUGAAGAGGAGCACAAGUUUACAGAGUCCCAUUUAGUCUCUAUUGUAGGGUCUUUAGAGGACUGGCUUGAGGUUUAAUAAUAAAGACACAGAGACAUCUAUUAGCUUGUUUGCCUGGGCAGUCUCUCAGCUAGCCUCUAACUUAACCAGACUUCACCACUGAACCUCUCAGUUUGGCUAUCAUGGCCUUACCUCCCUGCUCCUUCUGGUCUCCCUGCUAUCUGCUGGUCCUCCUCCUGCUCCAGUUGCCAAGGAUUUUUUAUUAUGCAAAAAGCCACACUCCUUACUCCAAUUGACAUUGGAUGACCUUCCUCUCACAGCUUGCCUUUCUUUUUGGGCGGGUGAGGAAGCACAAGCAUUUGCAUGUCCUGCUAGUCUGGUACCGCUGGUCUAGCAAUUAACCAUCGAGAACACAGGGACAGCAGCAUUUUCUCCUAUGUUUGGGUCAUCUCAACAUCUCCCCCUAUUAGUUCAAGAAAUUGUUUUCUCUCUAACAUUAGUAAACUACAUAUAACAAUUAAAUAUGAGAACAAUCAUCUGGGCAAGAAUUAUAUUCAUCAUAUUCGGUCCAUUUAGAUUUGGCACCUCUGGGAAAGCACUUCACUAUCUUCUAGAAGGUUUGUGUCAAAUGAGCAAGGGAAAGAGAUCUGAAACAUAUAUAUCUUAAAUCCUCUUCUCACUAUCUUUUAAGCUUUUAUGUCCUCCAACCUUAAAACACCUUCUCAGACCCUACAACAGUCUCUUAGACCCUACAACUUAAGCUCUUGUAUCUUUUCGGAGUCUGGCAAUGAGGUAGACCGUAAGACAGACAUGUAGCUCUAAGAGAGUGAGGCCUGAGGCCUGACCUUCCCACAUGAGGAUAACUGAGAAAGCAGCUUGAGUCUUGGUUGUUAGUGAUAAGCUUAUAAAAGUAUAACUGUCUAGUCUUCAACCUCAUCAGAGACCUGAGAAGGAUAAAUUUUACCUGAGCAAGCAGGAAAUGCAGAACAAGUAGCCUCCGUAUCUAUAAAAAUGACAGAGACCUGAAAUGGUCACCCAAAGUUCCUCAGUGGGGCAUCCGCCUUUGACUGCCAGGCCCAGAAGAUCUGACAGGGUGUGUGUGUGUGUGUGUGUGUGUGUGUGUGUGUGUGUGUGUGUGUCUCUGUGUGUAUGUGUGUGUGUCUCUGUGUGUGUCUGUGUAUGUGUAUGUGUGUGUAUGUGUGUAUGUAUAUGUGUGUGUGUGUGUAUGUGUGUGUGUGUGUGUGUAUGUAUAUGUGUGUGUGUGUGUGUGUAUGUGUGUGUGUGUGUGUAUGUAUAUGUGUGUGUGUGUGUAUGUGUGUGUGUGUGUAUGUAUAUGUGUGUGUGUGUGUGUGUGUGUGUGUGUCUCUGUGUGUAUGUAUAUGUGUGUGUGUGUGUGUAUGUGUAUGUGUGUGUAUGUGUGUAUGUAUAUGUGUGUGUGUGUGUGUGUAUGUGUGUGUGUCUCUGUGUGUGUCUGUGUAUGUGUAUGUGUGUGUAUGUGUGUAUGUAUAUGUGUGUGUGUGUGUGUGUGUAUGUGUGUGUGUGUGUGUGUAUGUGUGUGUGUGUGUGUGUGUAGCAGGAACUUGAGUGGACUGUCCUACCUACUUUAGGCAAGGUAGGGUAAGCGACUGCCCAGUGUCCUGCUUGUUCACAGUUUGGACAGUGUGCUGUUAGCAGUCAAGGAAAAGGGCAGUUUAUAGCUCAAUGUCCAGCUUUACUACAUGUAAAGCAUGCUCCAGGGGAGGGUUCUUCUGUGCCCAUCAUCUUCUUUGGAGGAGAUUAGGGAUGCUUCCAGGAGCUGAUGUGUGUCUCUGUCAGAAAAGCCUCCUUUAUUGAAACACCUUAAAUGCCAUAUUCUGUAGAUCCCUGAAGUAUUUGAGGACCACUGUAUGUCUAAUAUAUAUCUAAAUAGAUAAAUUUGUCUGUUUCUAGUGACUUAGCUUUUUUCGUUUAAACAUUGCAAACAUAUUCAGGAGGCUAAGAAGGUUUGUUCCUACCAUGACUACCUAGCAUGACUACAAGUAUUGUUCUGAAUGCAUUAAAAGAUUUUAUUAUUUAUAGGUGACUGACUACUAAUUUGUAUUUCUUAAUUAUCCUUAACAGUUUACAAUAGUAACUUUCAUAACACUAGGGUUUUACACUAUAUUUUUAAGUGAAAUACAUUCGAGUUAUGUGCACAUAUACCUUAAACAAAAAUCGAGUCAUAUCUGCAGUAUGUUGAGGUAAAUAUAACCUUAAAUUUCUACCAUCAUACAAAAAUCCAUAUCAACCUAAAAUAUUUGAGACUCAUUGCUUUCUUAGUCUAAAGGACAGACAAUAAUCCACCCUUCUUUUCCCUCUCAUUCCCCUCCCCAGUUUCACCCCCUAACACUAGAUAGGAGAGAAAGAAAGAUGGAGGGGAGGGAGAGAAAGAGACCCCUUUCCUUUGUUUCUUUCCUGACCAUAGCUAUUAACAACCCCAAUCAACCCCCUUAGAUGUCAACAAUCAUCCAUAAUCCACCAGAUGACCGAUAUCCACCUACUCCACCUCUUGGGAAUGAGGCUGUUGUGUCCUUUAGAUGGCUUCCUGCAGUCUGGGGGGCAAGUGCAGGCAGGCCCAGGAGGAGCAGGUCUUGGCCUUGACUCAAGCCUUAUUGCUCUGUUCUCUUCAUCCAGACAUAGUGAUGAUACCAGGCCAACUGAGAACACAGGGAUACACUUUUUCAUAGCCAGUGGAUACAGUAUUUGUGGGUCAUCUUUAAUCAACCCGAGGUCCGACAUGAAGACAGUACUGAAGUGAGGCUGAACAACACCCAAGUCCAAGUUCAGCAGAAGGAGGUUUUGCAAUAUGGCGACUAGAAUGACUAGACAGCAGGCAAACCCGGGGUUCCCAUUCCUCUUUCUCUCUAGUUGCUUGCUGUCAAUAAGGUUCUGGAUGAUCUUCUCAGCCUUUCAGAUCACUUCCUCACUAAAAGCACAGCCUUUAGUGUGAGGCUAAAUUAGUUAGUUGCAAGCAGUACAAAGCUCAGGGUGCAGGGUGUAGACAGAGUAAGAAGCCAGGCAAGGCAGCUAAUUAUUGCUUCCAGAAUCUGGUGGAGUAGGGGGUGUCUUAGUUGGGGUUCUAUUGCUGUGAAGAGACACUAUGACCAUGGCAACUCUUAUAAAGGAAAAUACUUUACUCAGACUGGCUUAUAGUUUCAGAGGUUUAGUCCAUUAUCAUCAUGGAGGGAAGUGUGGUGGUGCGCAGGCAGGCAGGAUACUAGAGGAAGUGCUGAGAGUUCUACAUCUGGAUUGGCAGGCAGCAGGAAGAAGCUGCCACACUGGGUGUGGCUUGAGCUUGUAAGAAAUCCUGCCCGCCAUGGCCCACAUUCUCUAACAAAGUCACACCUACUCCAACAAAGCCACACUGCCUAAUCAUGCCAUUCCCUAGGGAACCUAUGGGGACCAUUUUUUUUUUUUUUGUUGUUGUUGUUCAAAACACCACAAGGGAUUAGAAGACAAAGGGGUUGGGGAAUUCAGAAAAGUCUUCUCAAGAAGGAGAAAUUGCAGGUACAGGAAAAGAGACAGAUCCACAAUGCUUAGGGAAAGAGUUCACUGUGGUUGAAAUGGUAGCAGAUCCAGUCACCAAGGUCAGGCUAUGAGGAAGCUUUUGGACAGGGUGAGGACAGAGACACUUUGCCUCUGGGCAACUCCUAUCUUACUGGGACUGUGCAUGUCUCUGGGCUGUAGGCUUUGGGUGACUGUUGCUGGCAGGCUGCCUGUUGCCAUGAGGUGGACACUGAGGAGGGGAGACUGAAAGCAAGUGGGGUGAUCAGGUCUCUCUGUGUCUGUUGGGCCAUGUAUCUCCCUGUGAUGACAGUUCGAGGCUGAUAACUGCCAUGCCUUCCUACCUUCCCAGUCUUUAGGAGUUCCCACCUAUGUGAGAACCAUGCAGGAGUCUUACUCAGAUCCACCACAGGCCUCUAGGAGGAGUCUAGGAGCUAGUCUAGCUAGUUUUAGCUAGUCCAGAUUGAGAGGACAAUUAUCACAGUUCUGAAACAUUACUUCCCAAGGUAAACUCAAGGAGGAGGAAGAAGAUGAGGUGCAUGUUUCACCCGAGAUGCCUGUUUAAGAUGACACCCUGUGAUCCUGAGUCCUGCCACUCAUUUCCUAGGAGAUCCUUUCCUCUCAAGUGUGGGCUUGGUGAGGGGACUUAGUCUAAGAAACAUAAAUCAGCAGCCGUGAUGGAAUGUCACUUUUAAGACCAGGUUAUAAAAGGAUUGAAUUGUGGCUUCCGUCCUCAUGAGUCUUCCUACUGUAUUAGUUUCAUGCUCUGAGGCCAGCCAGCUCUCCAUUUGUUAGCUGAUUCUUUAUGGGCCCACCUAACAAGAUAUUGAGGUAGACCCGUGGCCUGUGGUGGAUCUGAGUAAGAAUCUGAAAUCUAUAGUCCAAAGACCACUUAGGACCUGAAACCUGCCAAUUGCCACGUAGGCUAGUUUGGAAGCGAAAUUUCCCUCUGUCUACAUUCAGAUGAGAUCAUAGCUCAAAGCAACAGCUUGUCUCAGAAAACAACUUGAGCUCAAGGGCCCCCAGAGGGAGCCAUCCAAAUUCCAGACUCACGGAAAUUGUGAUACAUCAAACAAGUAUUGUUAUAAACUAUUAUCUAUCAGAAGACAUUUUCUGUAACAGAUUAGUAUUUGUAGUGGUCUCUGUGACCACCCAGGAUAGCAAAGUGACAUUCUAGAGGAGGCAAGAAGACAGUUUGGUUUGUUACAACUAAGUGGCUGGCAUUAUUUUAACUUGGUGAUAACUCAGUUCUGUGUGCACAACAAGGCACAAAAUAAGCUAAAUAAAGAUUGUAUACAAUGACAUCAAAACUCUUUGUAGGAAUAAGUGGCCUUCCAUAACGGUGGGUUCUGGAGCUUGACUACACACGACACCUUCCACAAUGAUGAAUUCUAUAGAUCGAGAAAAACAAACUUACAAUAAGGGUCUGAGGGAGAAUCUGGUGUGGUCUUGUCCACAGACAAUGUAUAACCCAGCCUUUUGGGCAGAGCACAGGCUAUUCUGUCCUUUCUGUGAGCAUAAUGACCUCUGUGCCUCCUAUAAUUGGGCAUUGAGGUCUGCCAUACAAAGGAAAAAGCGGGCAAUGUGGAGAGUUAGUGCUGGGGCAAGUCUGAUGGCAGAGUGCUCAAGUGGAAGGCUUUCGAGUCCUGUUUGGGUUAGUUGAUGGAGACCGUUUCACUGUAAUGGGUUAGUCGAUGGAGACACUUUCUUGGUGUGGCCUGACUUUAAAAAAAAAAAUCCACCUUUUAGCCAUUCAACCAAGACUCCUCCCAGGUAGUAGUUAUCUACAGAGGGAGAGGAUUCAUGGCUGCACAAGCACGUAUUUUGUUUAACUUUUUAGUAAAAUGUUAACAGUCAGUCCUGGCGUACUAUAGGAGCACCUGGAAAGUCUUUCUGGCAGAGUGAAUGGAGGCUCCCAGGAGAUCUCAAUGCAGAAUGGCCAGCUGCCUGAGGAGAAGGUUAUUUUGAGUUCAUUUCCUAAUCCCACCCUCUCCUGACCUUUUCCUGUUCUUCCUACUCUUUCCUUCCCUGACCUGCCUCCUCUCUGGCUUCUCUCUUCCUCAACUUCUCUCCAUUCUCCUUAGAGGCCUUUCUCUUACCAACUCUAGUCCUCCCUUCCCCUCUCCCCUUCUCCCCUCCACUCUCUCCUCAUGUCCUGCUCUUUUCUCCCUCUCUCCUUCCUCUCUCUUCCUCCUUCCCUGGCUUAUGAUGAAAGGCCUCUUCAGCCUCCAUACUGAUGAAUUAUGCAAACCGUUCCAGCGGGUGUGCCUGGCAUCCAAUUAAGUCCUUGGCUAGGUUGAUAACACAGACAGAUUAAAAUGUAAUUCAUUGGGCUUGACAUUUAGGCCCCAGUAUGAGUGGCAGGGAAGAGAAACAACACCCUCGGGUACUUUGUUUGCAUUUUGAGAGGGGGGCUCUGGGUUACCUGUGCUUGCUUAGCUAAUGCUGGCUUAGAGUAGUGAGUUUUCCCACUGUGUUUGUGGUAGGUCAAGGGACUGCGGGAAGGCCCAUGAUGGGCUUUCAGCUGAAGCAGACUUGCUUUUUUUUCUUGUUCCCUCUAGACUUUUAAUUUGGAAAUAAUUUGAGAAUUACACAAGAGUAGCAAUCAUAGCACAGCGAGUCCCCAUCUCCUUCCCUGAGCUUUUGCUGAUGCUCACGUCUUAUGUAACCACGGAACAGCGAUCAAAGCAAAGAAAUUAACAUGGGCACAAUCCCAUUAACUAAGCUACUGAUGUGUUUUGGAUUUCACCCAGUUUCUCACUAAGAUCUUUUUUUUUUUUUUCUCCUGCUCUAGGAUCCAGGCCAGGACCUUACAUUCCACAGCGGCCUUUUGUGAUCUUGAUUCCCUAGGGAGAACAGUUCCUCCUCAAUCCUCAAGCCAGUGGCUCUCAUACAUCAUAAUUGUACCAGCGAUUUUGCUUAAAGGGCACAUCCUUCAGUAGACAUCCCAAUUGGGAAGUCUUUGCUACAGGCUUGGCAUCUUUAUCCUUAACAAGCAGCCCACAGAGAGAUGGCGACCCUGCCCUGCCCCCAAGCACAGUUGUCUAGUCUCAGGGCUCUCAGUUUCUUUGCCAAUUCCCUUGUCACCAGCGCCAUGUGGCGUUCCUCGUCUUUUGGCUUAGCCUUAGGAUAAAGCUGUGUUCUCACCGUGCAUCAUCACCCCUGGCAAGAUCUAGAGGGCAGGGGCUCAGAUUGCAUGCAUUUCCCCCUUUCCACUACUGAGAUGACUAAUAGUUGGCCUGAGCAAAAUCCCCAUGCAAGUCCUACUUGGAGAGGCCGGCAACUGGGACCUCUGUGUCUGGACAGAAAUCUCCAUGUUGCCCUUUAAUCCAUAGAAUAACCCUGCAAGGAAAUAAGGGUUCUUUUCAUUUUAUAGAGCAGUCCUAGGAAAGACAAUAUAAGAAGUGUGAUUAAAUUUGGACUUUAGUAUAGGAACAUAUUUAUGUUUUAAUAUUUUUAUUAACACUGAAAGGUCAAAUGUAGCUGAACCUCCUAUUUUUAUCUUUAGUCUCAACUAAGUAAUGACCUGUGACUUAGAGACUGUAGAUAAACUCAGACUUGGAUGUGAUGGUAAUGGCUAUAGCAAGAGGAACCCUUGUGCUUGUCUGUCCAAUGUCUGUCUUAACUGGGAGGCCACAAGUAACAGGAUGUGAGGACCAUCUGUUUUUGUCCCUCACCGUUUCUCCAGAGUAUGGUACAAUAGGGCAGUGGGGACUUAAUAAAUAUUUGCUGCAUAAAUAAAUGGUCAUAUGCAUGAGUGCUUAUACAAGUGAACAUAUAAAUGAAUGGCUAUGGGCAUGAAUAUAUAUAUACACAUAUAUAUAUGCAUAUAUAUACACAUGUAUAUGUAUGUAUAUAUAUGUGAGUGUAUAAUCACAUGCAUGUAUGUAAUGUAUGAUGGCUACAGGCACUAUACACAUACACCACAAGGAUGUACAAAUGAAUGGCAACAGACAUGAGUGUAUAAGUGAGUAACCACAUGUAUAUGUAUUAUGUUAGUAUAUAUAUAUAUAUAUAUAUAUAUAUAUAUAUAUAUGAGCUAUCAAUAGGUGACUGCAGAUGUGAGUGUACAAGUGAGUGCAUAAAAGAGGGCUCCAUGCACAAAUAUGUAGACGAGUAGUUAAUAAUAAAUGCUACACACAUGCUCAGAAGGACUUGCUCCUGCACUGAUGGUGGUUAGACAGGUAAGCUGACUAGGAGUUGGAGGUCUGACCUGUCUCCAGAGACUGUAUACCCCGUGAGCAUGGGCUAUGAACCAGUUCCUCAUCUUCGUGCUUAGCACCUCUGCUUUCUCAGCUGUGAAAUGCUGUCUCCUCUGUAGCUAAGCUUCUCUGGUCUAUGACCUUGCUUCCUUAACCCCACCCUCUUGAAUGGGUUAAAAAUGAGGAUAAAAGAGGCUCACUGCUGGCUCCUAGAUAUUUCUUCCCACUUUGCUAUUUCUUCUCUCCUUUCUUCUGCUCAUCUCUCCUAUCCCAUGACAAUGUUUUGAGCACCCCUUUUGCGCUUGGCCUUUCAGUUUUGUUUAUUUCUUUUUGUUUGCUGCUGUUGUUGUUUUCCUUGAAUGCCCCCUUCCACAUUGUCAGAUGGAUCCGAAGCCUGGAGGGGCUGGCAUAAUGUGGUUCCUUGCAGACCAGGGAAGACAUCGGGAGCGACUGGAAUCUUUUAAAAUAGACCUGUUGUCGUUGUCGUCGCUGGAAUGUAUUUUUAGCCCUGUGAGAGAUUGGCAUACUCUCUCUACCACCAUCUGCCAAAGGCAGUUGCUAGGCAACUGACACUGACGACAGCAAGGGGAGGAUCUGGGGACUCUAGUGGCUCAGUCCUUCUGCACUGUCUAGUUCUUACAUGACAACAGUCUGGCCCAAGAGAAUAAACACUCCUAACCUGGGAGAGUACAAUUCAACUCAGUUCAAGGUUCCUGAGCUGAGUCCAGAGGGGACUGCCCAGGCAACAAGGACAGUGGCAACCAAGGUCUCUUUGUUGCCCAGGCAACAAGAAUAGUGGGAACUGAUGUCUUUUUGGUAGGCAGAGAUUUUAUUUAGAAAGGUCAGGUGCUGUCGCACUCACUGAGCCAAUAUAGCACAGCCUCAGCUCUCACAGCACUGUAGGGAUGGGCCUGAGCUGGACAUGGUCUAUUGGCAAAUGGUCAGUCUAGAGCAGGAGCCCUGGAAUGAAGCAGGAGGCAGAUGGCUGGGGUUCCUGGGCUCUCACCCAAUUUGGUUUAUUUUUCUCUGUGUGAGUUGUCUGCCUUUCUCUGGACUCUAGUUGUCUCCUAUCCAAAGUUAGGGUGUUGAACCAGGUAGAACACAUCCAUAUAAAAGAAGGCAAAACAAUCACAGAGCAAGGAUCCAUUAACAAGGCUUGGCAUCAGAUCUUCACUCUACCUCUUAUGGCUUGUUUGUGAGUUCAGGGAAGCCUCAAAGACACAGUCUCUUCUGUGAAAGACAGACUUGUUCUUAUUAUUCUUUGAGAAUUCAGAAAAUAGUACUUUGAUUUAGGUGUAUAUUGCAGCACAGAAAAUAGGUAGAUAUCAAUAAAUUUCAAAGCAGAGAAGGUAAAUCUUCUAUAAUCACCUAUCCUCUUUCUUAUUAACAGACUUAAAUCUGGGAAUGACUCCAGCCUUCCGUGUAACAAAAUUUUCACCAAAGACUGCUGAAGAAAUGAGAAGGUAUGGUGAUACGGAGCUCAGAGAAAGAAUCAGCUUGCUCAAAUACUAGAAGACAUAACAGAAUCCAUAUUUCCUGACCUCACCCAGGUGAACAGUGCAGCCAACACAGAGGUAAGUGAGUCCACAGGGGUACAUGAUGCCUUUCACUCUUCUUGAGAUAGCUGUAGCUGCUCUCUGCUCUAUCCCAGUGCUCCUUCCAAUCGCUCUGGUAUCUGGUAUCUCCACUCGUUGUUUGAUUUGGCUUAGUUUCCAGGCACAGGUUGGUGUGAUGAUGGGAAGAGGGUUGAACUGCCUCUAUAAUCACUGUCCUGUUUCAUGGGGAGAGCCUGGAGGGAAGAUGCUUGACAUCACUGCCUUCAGCUUUGCCUGCUUCCCCCAGUAGCUUUAGACAUGUUGGAAAGUGUGAGGGCACUUCAGAUAGGCUCCCAAGUUGCCUGCCAUCCUCAGCAUGGGAUGGAAAUAGAGGGCAGUGUUCUCAUUGGUGAGAGGACAGGGUAGCUUUAGAAUAAACUCGGGCAAAUGAAAACUGUCCUUUCGAUUUGGUUAGAAUCCAAACACCUCUCCACUUCCUCUCCUAGGAAGACCUUGGAUCAAUGCUUGACCUUCUCCACGUGCUGUGGGAGAAACUAGAAUGGUACAGGUCUACUCACUUGCCAGCCUGUGCCAGAACAAUAGCUAUACUUGACACAGCCACCCUUUGUUUGGCUUCCAGCAGAGCAUGCUGGUGGCUCUGCCUCUAAGCCCUCCUCAGGCUGCUCUCAGUGCUAAGAUCUGCCCGAGCUGAUCCACCCAAUGAGUAGUUUAUAGUAACACCCUGAUUAAAUCAAAGCCUGAUCUAGGCAGCUUUCCUCAGCUCUUACAGCGCAGUCCAAUCAUGCUGACUCUCCCAUCCCAUUGCUGGUUUUCUUUCGUGUGCCUGUGGCUUCUUUUAAAAGGUAGAAAUCCCUGUUUCUUCUUAUUUUUAUCCCCUUUAAUAUAGACAGUAGAGUUAAAGGAACUGCAUUUCAACCCCAAGUUUUCUUCUCCCUCCAGAGUUGUGUUGGAACAGACAAGCAUUAUGUGAAGGCUUCUUUCAGCCCCCACUUGCCUUCACUGCUGACCAUCGUAGGAGAUGCCAUGUAGGAGAAUCCAGACACUGUGUACAGCUGCAUCUCAGCAUGGCCCAUUUUGGCUGGAAUUCAAAGAGUAAUUAUAGCCAAAUGAGUAUUAUUACAACCCACGUCAAUCAGCAGCCUUCUCCUCGAAUGCUCUCAUAAGGAAACAGGGACACUCUCUGAAAGAUGCUGUCUGGGUAAAGCCCAUGUGUCUUUCUGGGGACCAGGAUGUGUGUGCUUAUCCGGAGGGAAAGAGUGCCUAUUACCUGUUGCCAAGUCUGAAGAGGAUAGCCUGUGUGAUCUGAGACUGUUGGUCCCUGGAGUUAGACAGAUCCAAAUUCAAAUUCCACAUGCUACUUCCUCCCUCUGUGAACUUACACAUGGGCUUAACGUCUCUACAUCUCCAUGUUCUGAUGGGUGAUUUGUGGCUUCAGGGAUUCAGAGAGACAGCGUGUUUAAAGAGCCAAAAGAGUUCUAGGGUGAUUUGUUAACAGAACUUCCUUUCCUCCUCAUUCAGUAAUUAAUCAUCAGCUCUUUGUCCUCUGUUGGGGGGCGUGGCUGUGUGAUUGUGAAGGCUUUGCAUCAGCAGCUGGAUGCUAAGACACAUUUGUCUGCAUUUUAGGCCUCCUUUGGAACACAAAGCAAUGGGUGCAGGGAGAGUUUCCUGGAGAAACGAGUGUGGGGAAGUCAUACUGAACAUCACAUUGGCAACUCUUCUGUAGGGGGAUGGGAUGCCCUGGGGAACAGGGUAGGAACAAUGGGAAUUGGAAGACUCCCAUAACUGUGGAGUUCCACCAACUUUAGAACAGUACUUUGGGAAAUCUCAUGGGUGUGAAGGAAAGACUUUGUCUCAGUAGAAGUUUGGUGGAGAAGAGCUCUUUGCCUAGGCCCCUGGUGGCCUGGUUAGAAAGAACAUUGUUAUGGUUUCAAUCUCCAAUGCCCACCAUACACUCUUGUUUUGAACAUUUGGUUCCCAGCCAGUGGAACUGAUUUGGGAGGGUAUGGGUCUAGCUGGUAGGCAUAGGUUUUCAUGAGAGGGUUCCUAGCUCCUGACUCUCUUUCCACUUCCUGAUCUGCAUGAUGUGAAUAGCUCCCCAUACACACUCUUACAAUUGCCACCCUACAGCCGUGGUCUGAACCACCAUACCAAGCCUCCUCUGUCAUAGCGAAACUCCUUGAGACCAUGAACCCAGAGAAUUCUUUUCCCCUUUGAAUUGUUUCUGCCAGCUAUUUUGGCCAUGCUAACUCAAAAGCAACAAAUAAAAAUGCUUCUAAAAGUGGGUCUACAAGCAGCCAGGCAACCUUGUUCGUAAGCAUGGGGCUUGGGCAUGGGGCUUGAGUCAAUCUUGUAAAUUUGCUCCCUUCAAUUUACUAAAACAAAGAUUUGCACCUGAUAGGGACCAUAAUUUGAGGUGUCUGGAAUUUCUUUGAGAAUGUGUUAGGGACCUGGGUGAGGUUUAGAGACCCUAGGUCCUUCUGCUAGGUCACAACCAUUUCCCAAUAGCCUUGCCUUCCCCCCAACCUUUGAUGUAUGGUGGAGUAUUUAAGAUCUAAACUAUAGCAUCAGGAUUUAGAGAAAAAAGCCUAGUGAUCCCAUCUCUCAAUCUCCUCCAUGUCUUCUAUGGACAGGUCCUUAAGAUGUCAGUUCUGAGGGGGAGGAAAGUAGUAGACAGUAGCGUCACCAUGCCAUUUCAUCCUACCCAAGGAAGGGGGAUAGCCAUCUUUAGGACUUGCCCAAUGCCACAUCAAGUAUCGGUAAGGACAUCCCUAUUGCCAAUCCAUGCCUUCUGACCAUAUCCUCCCCCAAGCACAGCCACUUUUCAGGAGCAGAUGCUCACGUUUUUCAGAACCUGCCCUGGCUGGUUAGGUGGCGAGGUGUUCUGCUUCAUUAUAAGUAGAACAUGAAGCAUCGGGCAUCUUUAGUAGCUUUUGGCAGGCAAAGGAUCAGAGCCGUGCUCAGCAUCCAAAUGUAGAGUCAAAAGGCUCAGAAUCAAAGGCAAGGCAUUUUGUUUGAAGUCAACUCUCAGGUCAUUAUACAGCACUUCUGUCAUUUAGAGGAACAGCGAUGAGGAAUUUUGGCUGCAGCUGGCUGUCUUGUACUGUCAGACAGUCCCGGAACAUCCAGAACCUUAUUGUUGGCUUCAAAAUUAAAAUAAAAGCCAUUGAUAUGGAAGAACUAAAGAGGAACAGCUCCAGUGGGGUCAAUGUACUGUUUUCAGAUAUUUUGGGUUGGCCUGUAUCCCAUAAUGAGCGUGAGAGGUGCUGGAAUUUGCCAUGGAAACAACCUGAGGGAUGCUGGGAGGAUUUAGAACUUGGUAGGGGAUUCUAGCUAUAGCUGGUACCCAGUGCACAGGGAAGAUGAGUGAUGCUUACAUCGCUAAGAAGUCGGAGGAGCCAGAUCCCAGCGGCAGGUGCAUCUUACCAAUGAUGAGGAAGCUGUUCUCCAAACUGUAAGGCUGGGCAGCUUGGUGUAUUUUGGAUACGUGCAAUUAAUUUUAGCUUCCCAUUGAAACCAAGUGAGGAGCUUAAGAGAUUUCCCUGUCAGUAAAGUGGGGCUUGAGUUUGAAUCCUUAAUAUCCACAUCAAAGCCAGGGGGUACUCCUAUGACCUCAGUGCAGGAGGGACAGGCAAGAUAGGGAAAUCCUUGGAACUUGGUGGUUAGCCUAGCCGACCAACACAUGUGUGAGCCCGAGCUUGUGCAAAAUAAACUUCUAACAGUAUUCUUGACAGUAUUGUGCUCUUGGAUCCAGAUGUUGGUACCGGUGUCAGCACAAAGUAUGGAGGUUGAGUAUACACUGGUAGGUGAGCAGCUGCACAGCUCCUCCUUGCUUUUGGCUGAAGGAGGAUGAGCUUGUAUUUCCUGCCUCAGCCUAACCCCACUAGUUUGAUUGCUCCAUUUCUCCUGGGUGGUGGCCAAGUUCUGGGACAUUGCCCUGGGCUUUGGGCUCAAGCCCCUGGAAGCAACUGUAGCAUCACAUAGUAAUUUUUCCUGGACUUGAGUUCUCCUCUUCUUGGCCAGGCUCCUUCCCAGAUUUUAUUAUGGGAUGGCACUGAGCUGUUUCUUCCAGACAGUGAGGCUCCUUGUCUAUCUGGGGCAGAGCUAUAAUUAAUUUCCUAUUAAAUAUCUCAGCUGCCUUUUCUCUCCGUUAACAUUCGUGAGAGGGUCUGAAUCUCCCUUAAUUCCCUGCAGCUGCUCUCAUUCUGCAUGGCUUCUUGGGGAUAUGAUUCUUUUGUUUCCUUGUUUUUCUUUUUAAGCAAAUGUUUUGUUUUUGAGUUCUGGAUAGGUGUCAUCUGGAGUCUUUAGGGAGAAAUAUCCCCCUCUGAAACUUCUGGACAGGGCAUUAGAGCUGCUGGUUGGGAAGAGGUCAUUGCUUGUGAUUGGUCAAUGAGAUUAUCACCAAGGAAGGCUUAGUAGGGCAAGGAGGAGAGCAUUUGAAUCUGUAUCCACAUUCUCUGCUGUGUGAUCUUGGGAAAUUCCUUACCUUUUUGGGCCAAAUUAUUACCAUCUGUAAGGAUGGGGUUGAGUUUAAUUAAAGGUUUACAGUUAAAAACAAAAGCAAAUCCAUCAGAACCCUCAUUAAAAUCAAGGUAAAUUAAGUGUGAUUGCUAAUUUCAUUGGUUAAAAUGGUUAGUAUCAUACAUUUAGCUCAAUGUUUCUCAGCCUUUUUGAUCUAUGGACCUUUGGAUCCAGAUGGUUAUAGGAGGCUGUCCUAUGCACUCACAGUGACUGAGAAAGGCCUGAGAAAUAUUCAGAUGUUGACAGAGACCCCACAGUGGGCAACUGUUGCCUCUGCAGAGAAUUACAAGUUUAAGCUGAUUGACCUAUUAAAAGAUGAGGGUCCAGGGAAUAAUGAAAGGUAAUUAUUGGUCCACUCUCCAUGGCCUUCUGGUGAACCAGGGUUGCAGGAAACAGUUUAAACAUCAGUACAUUCAGAGUUUCAAUAGUUCUCAGCUUAAAACUUCCCCCAUGGACCCAGGAUCCUAUGUGUUUUUGUCAGCUCUCUGCUGCUGCUUUCAAAAAGUCACCCUAAGGACAAAAGACUUGACUCAUGUUCCAAAGGUUUCAGUCCAUGGUUACUUGGCUCUGUUUUUCUGUUUCUGGACCUGUGACCAUGCAGGACAUAACAAUCAUGGUAAAGCAAGGAGGCUAGAAGGGAGGGAGAGGAGAGGACAGAGGAUAGGAGGGAGAGAGAUGGGGGUAUUCCUCAGAGAAUUACUCCAUUCAACUAGGUCCUAUGCCUUGAAUGUCCAUUACUUCUCAAUAGUCCAUCAAUUUAUGAAUGUACUACAUUGAUGAAGUCAGAGUCACCAUGAUUCAAUAAAUGUCUAAGACCCCCGCCUAUGAAUAUUGCAACAUUGGAGGGAAAGCCUUCAAUACACAAGCCUUUAGUGAUAAUCGCAUGUAAAUCAUAACAUCUCCCUUUAGAUAUGGACUGAAACACACUCUCUUGUUUACGUGUCCCUGAAAUCUCUGGGUUUUAAAGUUUAAGAUGUCAAGUGGAAUAGCCAGCAUCCUCAAGACUGUGAUUAAAACCUGUGUGGGGUUGGGAACUUCCUACUAAAGAAGCCUGAAGCCAUGGAUCCAAUAGUCACUAGUAGAGUGAAGCCUAAAUACAGUUUAUCUGGGUUUCUGCUCUAGAUUGGAUCUGGGAUGCUGCUUCAAGGCUUGGCUUCUUCCAACCCGUGGGAGGUGGAACCUUUAAGAAGUGGGGAAUAGUAGGAUAUCUUUAAACCACUGGAGGUGUGUCCUCCGAGGAGACUGUUUCUGCAUUUUCAUAACCAUGCCCAGGUCUGCAGAGAAGGACUUAUUGUAGAAUAUGAGGGAGAUUAAAGCCAGAGGCAUCUGGAAGAGUCCAGAGCAAGGAGAGAGAGAAAUAGAUUUACUAUGGUCACCAAUCUGAACUGGGCCAUGAGACAAGAGAGGCAGCAUGGAAAGGUCAGCAAAAGAGGAAGAGAAGAGAGAAGGGGAAGAGGACGUGUGGAUCAAGGAGGAAGCUGAGGACUGAGAGAACAGAGGGAAGAGAGGGCAGAAAAAGAGAUAACCAAGAGAGUGCAUGGUCAAAACAGAAGCCCCUGUGCUGAAGAGGUUUAGGGUAGGGGCUCGGGUAUGCCAGCCAGGAUGACUCUGGAACAGGUAUUUGCUGAGAAGGCCUAUAGGCAGCAUGUCCUUGGGUAGGCUAACAGCCACCUCAGUUGGCCAUUUGUUCUGAGGUUAUUUGGGACCUGAUAGUCUCUUUUCUUCUUCUUUUGCCUCUGUGGCUGCUAUAUGACAGGCAUCUGACUAGCCUUACCCUAUGCUCUCACUAUGAUGCAGGCCAGGAAACAGCCAUGAGAUGCUGAAAAAUGUCCAAAACUGCAACUCAACAUAAACUCCCCCUCUUCCUAAGCCAAUUAUCUCAGAUAGAUUGUUAUAGUAAUAUAAAGUCAACUAACACGUUUACCCCUGUUAAACUGCCUUUUUUUCCAUGUGCCCAAACAUGUCCAAAUCUCAAUCAUUUUUAUCACAUCCUGUCUUCUGUUAAAGUUACCAGCACUUGCAUGAACCUCCUGGCCCAAAUCUAAGUUCUAUGGGUAAUCUUUAUGUCUCAGUUUCUCUGUAUGCUUCCCCCCUCCAUCUAGUUUUCACAUGAGCCAUUUAGUGAAGUUAAUAGGCAGAGUAUAUCAAUCCUUUCCAAGAAUGAACAGGUUAACAAUGUAUUGGUAUAUGAUAAUAUAUCUCCUUCUAUUCCUUCCACCCACUGGCCAUUUUUCAUUCAGCUAGCCAUUUUCUUGUAUUUAUCAAUUCAAGAAGAAUGGGUUCAGCAUAAUAAUGAGAAUCAGUUGUAGAACUAUGAGGUCUCAAAACCUUAGACUCUAGUAGAGUAGAGAAGUCUUAUAUUUUCAAGAGUAAGUUUGUGAUUGAAAUCAAGUGGUAGUGACAGGGAAUUCAACUCCAUGGUGUGGUGUCAUGUACUUGUAAAAACUGUGUUGAGUUGGAGAAGAAUAGGGCUCUGCUUGUGGUGUUCCUCAUUGUGUGGAUCAGGAUUCCCACGCACUCCUAUGCUAAGCCUGUGGUGAACAACUAUUAUCUUUGACAGAUUCCCAUUUGACUGGUUCUUUCCUGGUAGAAAUCAGAGAGGAUUCACCUGGACUGAUGAAAGAGCUUAUAUCAUUGGCUGACAGUGUUUUCAGGGCUAAAUCUUGAGCUAGGGUUUUGGCCGAUAGAUGAGUAUAAUGGGCUAACCAAUCAUGAGUCAGUGUUGGGAAAAUGUCCAGACAAGCAUAUAUUGAGUAUGAGCUGGAACACCCAUCAUCUGUGCUUGACAGUGAAUGAAUGAGGACAUGGUCCUGACUUCCACCACUCUGGGUAUAUGACCGAGGAGUUGACUAUUUUCAUCCAUACUAAUAACUUGUCAUCAGAACCAGUUAGUAAUGGGCCCCAUCCUAUUAACUUAUUCUUCUUUGGGUUACUGAAAUAUAAUUCACUUUAAGGAGCAGAGAAGGGGCUCAAGGGGUAUCUUCACAUUUCUGUAGGUAUGUGACCACCAGAUCACGACACAAAACAUAGAAGCUCAAGCGAUCUCCUGUGUUCUUCUCCCUCUUCAAUACUCACCACCAUGAGGCCACUGUUUGCCUCUAUUGUAUAAUAGAGUUUCUACUGAAGAAGCUUUAAAAGUUUAUGAAGUAUAAUUUAUUAUUCUUUUCUGGGUGUUAUAUUUUGUAUUCUCCUUUAGAAAUCUCUGCCUGUUAUAGUACCAAAAAAAAAAUACGUUCUCCUGAGUUCACAUUUAAGUCUACAACUUAUCUUUAACUAAUUUGUGUGUGUGAUGAGUUAUGGUGAAGGUUCCUUUAUAGUAAGUGAGCCUUGCCAUUGGGUAGCAUAGGUCUCCAAAUAUUUUUCAAUAUGCCUUGGUUUUUCCAUGUAAGAUUAGAAUUACCAUUUCAAUUUCCAAUAAAGUGAAAUGAAAUAAGCCACCUGGACUUUCAUGUGGAUUCAAUUUACUCAGUCUAGUCUGAGAAAAUUGAUAUCUGUGAUGAUUAAUCUUCAUCAUUCACUUGCCUGGAUUUAGAGUUAUUUAGAAGAUUGGAGAAGCACGCUUCUGGAAAUGUCUAUGAGGGUGUUUAUAGACAAGUUUAACUGAGGGGAAGACCAAUCCUAAAUGCAGGUGGCUAUAGUCCUAGAUGAAAUAAAAGGGGGGAAAGGGCCACUUCCACCAGUGCAUUGGCAUUUCUCCUGUCUGCUUCAUGGCCUGAUAUGAUGUGAGUUUCUGUGCUCUACUGUGAUUUACCCUCCAUAGCACAUGGAAACCUCUAAACUGGGAGCCCAAGUAAUCAUUCUGUCCUCAGCUUGUUUCUGUGAUACAUUUUUGUCAGAUUAAAACACAAGCAUCUUACUGAUAUUGAGUCUUUGAACCCAUGAACACAUUUUAACACUGAACACAUGGUUACUUGAGAUCUCCUUUAGUUUCUCUUAGCAGUACUAUGUAAUUUUAGGAUACAAAUCAUUCAAAUCUUCCAUUUAAUGUAUUGAGUAUUGGAUAUUUUGAUUCAGUCAUACUUUGCAUUUUGAAAUAUUUAGCUUCUUUGUUCAUAAAGAAUAGAAAAUUGAUUUUCAUAUUGAAAGAACAUUCCCAUAAAUUGAAUAAGGAUUGUUUUUCAUCUAUGGUAAUAAGUAGUCAGUAGAACUAGUUGUAAGUUUGUUCAACUGACCCGUGAUGGCUUGUUGUAGUAAAUAUACCAUUUUAAAUCAUGAAAUUACUGUUAACACUUUUCUUCUAAAAAUCAACCAACCAAGGAUAAACUCACUUCAGUAAACACACCUCUGAGUAUCAGCAAAUCAAUACUAGGGAAACCUGAGCAAGCACACUUCUAAGAAGAACUCAGCCCAUUUAUUCUAUCUAAAAAUCCAUCACAUCCUGAACCUUGUACAAUUUUCCUUGUGAUAUUUUCCAUUGAUUCUUGGAUAAUUUACAAAUGUGUUAACUUUCAAGGUGUAGAAAUUUUAUUAUGUUUAGUUGCUGAUUUCUAUAUUGUGAGAGGAUAUAAUCUGCAAAUUUUUAAUAUUUUGUUAUUUAUUAAAGCUUGCUUUAGGAAAAUUUCAGAAGGUGGCUGAGGACAUACAGGUGUGGUAUGUUAAAAUUCCCGGAGAACAAAGUUGGGAAAGUUGGAUAACAGAUGUCAGUUGAUGUGGGUGAUAGCUGAAAAUCUCCAGUUCAAAAGAAAGGAAAACAAAGGACAUUGGCAAACAGAUCAUGGAUAAGUCAAGAUCUGCCUUGAAAGGAUUGGAGGUUCUAGGAACUUCUUCCCAGUGAGAGGUACUGAACAGGAGAGAGAGAGAGAGAGAGAGAGAGAGAGAGAGAGAGAGAGAGAGAGAGAGAGAGAGAGAUUAAGAAAAAU